rnacentral:rRNA from 1 species
GAGACCUUGACCUGCUAAAUAGACGGGUUGACAUUUUGUUGGCCCCUUAUGUCUUCUUAGAGGGACAAUCGACCGUCUAGGUGAUGGAGGCAAAAGGCAAUAACAGGUCUGUGAUGCCCUUAGAUGUUCCGGGCUGCACGCGCGCUACACUGACAGAGACAACGAGUGGAGCCCCUUGUCCGAAAUGACUGGGUAAACUUGUGAAACUUUGUCGUGCUGGGGAUGGAGCUUUGUAAUUUUUGCUCUUCAACGAGGAAUUCCUAGUAAGCGCAAGUCAUCAGCUUGCGUUGACUACGUCCCUGCCCUUUGUACACACCGCCCGUCGCUACUACCGAUUGAAUGGCUUAGUGAGGACUUGGGAGAGUACAUCGGGGAGCCAGCAAUGGCACCCUGACGGCUCAAACUCUUACAAACUUGGUCAUUUAGAGGAAGUAAAAGUCGUAACAAGGU